rnacentral:rRNA from 1 species
GGGGAUUGCACAAUGGAGGAAACUCUGAUGCAGCGACGCCGCGUGAGUGAAGAAGGCCUUCGGGUCGUAAAGCUCUGUCCUAGGGGAAGAUAAUGACGGUACCCUAGGAGGAAGCCCCGGCUAACUACGUGCCAGCAGCCGCGGUAAUACA